rnacentral:rRNA from 1 species
AUUGAACGCUGGCGGCAGGCCUAACACAUGCAAGUCGAGCGGGGUUUUCGGACCUAGCGGCGGACGGGUGAGUAAUGCGUAGGAAGCUGCCCGAUAGAGGGGGAUACCAGUUGGAAACGACUGUUAAUACCGCAUAAUGUCUACGGACCAAAGUGUGGGACCUUCGGGCCACAUGCUAUCGGAUGCGCCUACGUGGGAUUAGCUAGUUGGUGAGGUAAUGGCUCACCAAGGCGACGAUCUCUAGCUGGUUUGAGAGGAUGAUCAGCCACACUGGAACUGGGACACGGUCCAGACUCCUACGGGAGGCAGCAGUGGGGAAUAUUAGACAAUGGGCGCAAGCCUGAUCCAGCCAUGCCGCGUGUGUGAAGAAGGCCUUCGGGUUGUAAAGCACUUUCAGCGAGGAGGAAGGGUGGUGUGUUAAUAGCACAUCAUUUUGACGUUACUCGCAGAAGAAGCACCGGCUAACUCUGUGCCAGCCGCCGCAGUAAUAC